AUUGAACGCUGGCGGCAUGCUUUACACAUGCGAGUCGAACGGCAGCGCGGGCUUCGGCCUGGCGGCGAGUGGCGAACGGGUGAGUAAUACAUCGGAACGUGCCCAGUAGUGGGGGAUAGCUCGGCGAAAGCCGGAUUAAUACCGCAUACGACCCGAGGGUGAAAGCGGGGAUCUUCGGACCUCGCGCUAUUGGAGCGGCCGAUGGCAGAUUAGCUAGUUGGUGGGGUAAAGGCCUACCAAGGCGACGAUCUGUAGCUGGUCUGAGAGGACGACCAGCCACACUGGGACUGAGACACGGCCCAGACUCCUACGGGAGGCAGCAGUGGGGAAUUUUGGACAAUGGGCGAAAGCCUGAUCCAGCAAUGCCGCGUGUGUGAUGAAGGCCUUCGGGUUGUAAAGCACUUUUGGCGGGAACGAAAAGGACUGUGCCAAUACCACGGUUCGAUGACGGUACCCGCAGAAUAAGCACCGGCUAACUACGUG
rnacentral:rRNA from 1 species